rnacentral:lncRNA from 1 species
AGCGAUUGGUACCAGUUCAGACAUGGGUACACGUUGACAGGCCGCCGGCCGUCGACUGGCAUGUUGUGACCAUUCCUGGUGCUGGUCUUGGUACUGUUCUUUCCUACCAUAACUUAUUGGAAGAGGGUGGCAUUCCUGCCUUGCAGCCUUUUCUCCAGUGAGGAGUGAACAGUGGGCACCUGAGAUCCUGGCCCACGCUACUAUGCUUUCAGGCUACAACCACUAGCACGGCUGACGAUGGCCCUUUCUGCGGAGACCGAGUCACACAUCUACCGAGCUCUGCGUACUGCUUCUGGCGCUGCCGCCCACCUUGUGGCCCUGGGCUUUACCAUCUUUGUGGCUGUGCUUGCCAGGCCUGGCUCCAGUCUCCACCUAUGUACAGCGAACACCUCAACAGAUGGCAUGUGACUCGACCAGUAUGCUCCUAGCUUGACAAGAUUUUGGAAAAUUUCACAGUACCUUCUCCGCUCGGCGUCUUGAGGGUCUGUGCCUGGCAGGCUGAUGGUGAUGGAGGAUGGGGCACCCACAUCGUAGCGCUUCACCGUCUUCUGGCAUAUCUUUACCUUCACCAGGAGGCUGUGCACCAAGUUCGCCAGCAAACCCACCACAGGCUGCAGGAUCUCAGGGAAGAAAGUGGCGAAAGCAAAGUGGUCAGCCAUGUCCCCUCGGCCCCGGCUAUGGCGCUGGUAGAAGCGAAGAUAUACCCA